UACGUAGGGUGCGAGCGUUAAUCGGAAUUACUGGGCGUAAAGCGUGCGCAGGCGGUUUUGUAAGCCAGAUGUGAAAGCCCCGGGCUUAACCUGGGAAUGGCAUUUGGGACUGCAAGGCUGGAGUGUGGCAGAGGAGACUGGAAUUUACGGUGUAGCAGUGAAAUGCGUAGAUAUCGUAAGGAAGACCAGUGGCGAAGGCGAGUCUCUGGACAGUUACCGACGCUGAGGCACGAAGGCCAGGGGAGCAAACGGG
rnacentral:rRNA from 1 species